UACGGGGGGGGCAAGCGUUGUUCGGAAUUACUGGGCGUAAAGGGCUCGUAGGCGGCCAACUAAGUCGGAUGUGAAAUCCCCAGGCUUAACUUGGGAACUGCAUCCGAUACUGGAUGGCUUGAAUCCGGGAGAGGGAUGCGGAAUUCCAGGUGUAGCGGUGAAAUGCGUAGAUAUCGGGAGGAACACCUGUGGCGAAAGCGGCGCACUGGACCACAACUGACGCUGAGGCGCGAAAGCUAGGGGAGCAAACAGG
rnacentral:rRNA from 1 species